rnacentral:rRNA from 1 species
UACGUAGGCAGCAAGCGUUGUUCGGAAUUACUGGGCGUAAAGAGUGUGUAGGCGGUGCUCUAAGUUCGGUGUGAAAUCUCCCGGCUCAACUGGGAGGUGCGCCGAAAACUGGAAUGCUCGAACAUGGGAGAGGAAAGCGGAAUUCCUGGUGUAGCGGUGAAAUGCGUAGAUAUCAGGAGGAACACCGAUGGCGAAGGCAGGUCUCUGGGCCAACUACUGACGCUG